GUGCUCGCUUCACAGCACAUAUACUAAAAUUGGAAUUAUACAGAGAAUAUUAGCCUGUCCCCUGCACAAGGAUGACACACAAAUUUGUGAAAGAAAUAUUUUUAUU
ensembl:snRNA U6 U6 spliceosomal RNA